rnacentral:rRNA from 1 species
UACGAAGGGGGCUAGCGUUGCUCGGAAUCACUGGGCGUAAAGCGCACGUAGGCGGCUUUCUAAGUCAGGGGUGAAAUCCUGGAGCUCAACUCCAGAACUGCCUUUGAUACUGGAGAGCUAGAGUCCGGAAGAGGUGAGUGGAACUGCGAGUGUAGAGGUGAAAUUCGUAGAUAUCGAGAGGAACACCGGUGGCGAAGGCGGCCAACUGGACGAGUACUGACGCUGAGACACGAAAGCGUGGGGAACAAACAGG